UAUUUAUAAUUCGUCCGAUUACGCGGACGUUUUCUUCUUUAUCGACGGAACACAUGCUUACCAACGUAGGAUAUCCAAUCGACGAGAUUACAUUUUUUUGGAAAUGUACUAGAUUAUACGUGGAAUAUUACGCCCGUUAUUCAUCAUUAAUACGUAGAAAAGCAAAGGAAUAAACCGAUCAUUGUAACGGUUGAUGUAAUUCUGCGAAUGCGUCAAGUUGGCACAAGUAGCAAUUGACGCUCUGUACACCGCGAGCGCCAUUCUCUGUCCGACCAGCCGUUGGUGAGGAGCAUCUCUGGGAUGCGCGACAAAAAAGCGUUUUGCUGUAGUUGCAGAGGGAACAGUUCUGCUGUGUCGUUUGAUUUGUACAGCAUUUGCAGAACGGGAAAGUUAGCAGAAAUGCAACCUAGUUGAAACAGCAACGGAACGAUUCGUUACUAGCAUAUGCCGACGUCACAAUUUUCUGGAAUUUUAUCAAAAAAUCGUGGAAAACUAAACGAGUGGAAUGUCCGAAAUCAAAUACUCGCCAGGAUUCCGGAAAUUUUUUAUCCGCUCAUCGAUUCGCUUCAAUGCUGGACAUAAAAAUCGUCGAAAUGGGAACUCUUCAGUGUUUCGAGAGUUCUUAAUUUUUUUUUACUCCAAUGCCGGAAUAAGUUAGCAAAUACUUUAUUGUUACAAAUUAGGUCGAUAAACACCAGACGCAAUAUGGAAAUCCCGAGCGCUCUCCAGAAUUUCGGCGCGAUUUUCCACUUGCUCCAGUGGCGCAAUUGGUUAGCGCACGGUACUUAUAAGACAGUGUUACGUGAGCAAUGCCGGGGUUGUGAGUUCGAGCCUCACCUGGAGCAUUUUUUUUACCGCCUUACCCGGCCCCUAUACGAUAUCAAGUCUUCGACAAUCUACGAUAUUUUUUUCCUCUUCGCCUGCAUCUAAAGGUCAGUUUUUUAAAGUUUUUACGAUUUUGCGAAAGCACCUUGACGAGUAUUUACAUGUAAUAGAGAAAAACCGACAUAGCAAGAAUAGAGCUGAAAGAGCUCUUCAGCCUGCAAGCGACAGAGAGCCGUUAUUUACAGGGCGCGAGAUAGUGCACCAGUUGCUGCGCUGCACCGGCACCUCCCUUUCGGCUGAACGCGCGCCGAUGCCGUGUGCAGGAAUCCGCGUAAUGGAAAAUGCAAUAAAAGGUCUUUCGCACGGCUUUGCAGUAUAGUGUGUACCGGGGGGCUACAUAGCUUAUGAAAUUAUUGACUCUGUUUGCCGCCGCAGUGCAGAAUGGAGGGAGAGAGAGCGCUUGUCAGUUGCAGGCGAGAGGCUGCAAUGUGCCGCCCAACAGCUCGUUGAUUGUGAUGAAGCGAGAGCAAAGAGAAAAAAAUCAAAGCGAGAGAAUUCAAGCUUGGUGUAAAGUUUAUACAGACCACUUUAUACCCUUUCUCGCUGUUUACGCUUACAUCGAUUACGCAACUCCCGCAACUUAAGGUAAAAGUUCUUAUCCAAGAGGCUUCAGCUGCUUCAUGAAUAUUCGAGCCCGCGCGAUAUUAUUGAGCUUGUUUGCAAGCGCGCCGCGGCGAGGCUUGUAAUUUUCAGGACGCAAACAGCAUCAGCCAGUCGGGGGUAAACGGCUCGCCUACACCGCGACUCACGCAUUGUAAGUGUGUUAAAGCCCGCGGUGGAGCCUGUUUUAUUUUGUAUCCGCUUUUGCUCUCGUGUUUGUUUGUAAACUCUGCCGCUACUGCCACGCCGCAUGGUCCUUCUGCGCCUGGCAGUUUGUAUUAUCUCUCUCUCAUGCUUCCGUUUCAUUUUGAUUUUCAGUUUCUUUGAUGGACUUCGCGUCGGAGUGACGAGGUUUUCGCGCCAGAGUUAAAUCACAAAGGUAAAUUGGUUCGCGCCGAGAGGAGGUGCUGAUGAAGUCAUGGCGAGUAAUUGCGAGUUUUUAAUCGAUUCUCCUACUCUGCCGCCUCUGCCUACUCAAUCAAGCCACUUUUUCACGGCGAUAUAAAAAACAGAGUCUAUUAUAUGGGUGCACUCUGGCGAGAUAAAUUUUAACACCGAUAUCGCAUCAGAUCUGCAUGCGCGCGCGAAAUCCUGAAACAGUAUACAGCUAGGCUGCACUCGGCGAAAUUAAUUAUACAGGGCGCGAACGCGAAAACUCUCUCUCUCCGCGGUGGGCCCAGCGUGUUUGUUCGACGAUAAUUAGCCCCCGGGACGAGACGCCUGCGCGUACGGCUUCUCUCUCAUGCAGACGCAUAUAGCCGCUGUAGAGCAUCAGGCCUUUAAUUUUUAUUAGCCCCAGCCUCGCGCGCCAGUUUCGCGGUUAUGCACUCUGGUCCUUUUAUUUUUUGGCCAGCAGAGCAGAGUGAGCUUUGUUCGAGUGGUAAAUUACGCCUCGCUCGACUGGAGUUCGCUACUUGUUUUAUGAGCAGCGCUGCGUGAGCGCUUUUUCUUUGAGGGAAUUCGCUCGCUGCGUGCGCUCUGGGUUAUAUACGUAUGCUCCCUGCUUUAAUGGAUACACACAGUGCGCUAUCUCGCGCUCUUUUAUUCAGGGCUGUAAAAUAUUUUUUUAGUCGGAGCUUUUUGUUUGUCUCUCCACUGCAAACUUUGUUCGGCACGGAGGUCGCAGUAGUCGUUGGAUUUGAAAAUUUUAAAAACCACCGCGUCUUUUUCAUGCCCCGAGAGGGCCUCUGCCCUUUUUUUCUACUCGUCGAAAAUUUCGUAGCCUAGUCUCUCUCACUCGCUCUCUCUCUCUCUCUCUCUCUCUUGGAAACUCGUACAGGAUUUUACGAUUGUUUGGCUGCUGAAUGGACAAGGAUUAAAAACCAUUGCCGACGUCGCAAGAGCUUGUACAAGCUCGAGCUUGAAACAAUAGCUCCGAGCGAGUAGCGCGACUUAAAUGAAAGAAUAUCCCAACUAAACGACUGCACAUCGUCACAAAGCCCAUCAGCAGCAUAUUAUACACGACGAGAGGAGUCGCGCUUAUAACAAGGCGCAUAGCAGCAGCAGCAGCAGCAAUUCCUCUGAAAAUUAAAGGACGUAAUGCCGCACUGAUCCUCACAGCUGCGCGUGCACCACAUAUACAUAUACAUCAUACACCGCACGGCAAUCCGCUAACAAACCGCAAUUCUCAGCUGCUCGGACAGCGUAAAAUAUACAGCAACGCGCGUAUAAUAAAGCAAAAGCUCGGCGCUGUAUGUAUCAGCAGCAGCAGCAGCAGCAGCAGCUGGACGCUGCGCGCUCUCUCGCGUCCCAGUAAUUUGCUGACCUACAUGCUCGCGCUCUCGUGAUGCGUUGAAAGAGCCGCCGACGCCAUCGUGCCCUACACUCCAUAUAUACUACUCUCCUCGCGCUGCGUGAACUUUUUUUCGCGGGAUUGAAGGCAACGCGUUGCGUGCGUCUGCCCAUUGUGUGCGCGGGCUUUGAAAUGUCCGGAAAGGGAUGAUGCCGGAGGAUUUUAAUUAAGCCGCGAGGAUGAUUCGAUGGAUGCAUCGAGAGGGUGAAAAGAGAGGUUGAUUUAUUUACACGAAGGGAAUCCGUUUCGCCAGUGGAAUCAGUCGUGUAUAUAUAUAUAGUAGCUGCGCCAAGCCCGAGUAGCCGUGAAAAGAAAACAGUUUUGCACUGGACUCUUCACCACUGCUUGAGCUUUCGAGUUCUGUAUAGGCUUCGGUUGCGGCUAGCGAAGAUAGGUGGCGCAUAAGCACUUUUUUAUUUCCUUCAGUGUAAUCGUGUGCAGAAUUCUAUAUAUAGUAGUCUAUGACAAAAUGGAAUAAUUGAGCCUAAAUAAGCCUCUCAUACUAUAACUGCCUGAGCUUCGCUAACGAGCGCCGUUCCUUUGUGGUCUGCUCGUAAGAAUUAUAACCAGACAUGUUUUCAUAAAUUUGAAAAAUCAUGGAGCCACAGAGUCUACUCUUAUACAAAAGCUCUUCUCUCAAGGCGAGCUUCGAGCUCGGUUGUAAAUCUGGAGCUCCUAAUCGCUGGCUGUGCCUGGGAAAAACGCUCUGGAUACUACGGGAGAAUUGUUAGAGUGGAUCUAUGGUUCCCGCGAGAGGCGACGAAAUAGUAUAGUUUGCGAAAACACACGUCUUGGAGCAGGCGCUCUUAUCGUUCGUUAUCGCGGCUCUUAUUUUAAAUCGAGAAUCAUGGCAAUGCUUUAGCUACAAGAGAUCACCUUACUUACCAUUUUCGAAUAAUAGAGUUAUACCGGGAAAUUAUACGGGGAUGAAUGAUUUCGAGUCAUGCUGGUUAAUUUGUAUGGAUUUUAUUAUAAUUCAUCAUAUUAAAUAAUAAGUAUUAAAAAGAUGUCAUGAGCAAUGAUAAUAAAUUUGUAAUAUACA
rnacentral:tRNA from 1 species